CGAUAUAUUACUUAUCGAGUACUAUAAAAAAAUGCGGAUAUAGUCGAAUGGUAAAAUUUCUCUUUGCCAAGAGAAGACGCGAGUUCGAUUUCCGCUAUCCGCCCCUA